AUCCCAAAAAUUUGGGGUCGGCUGGGCCGCAUAACAAAACAGAGAAGAAAAUCAUGCAUUUUUUUUAUCAUAAAAUGAACAGAGUUUUACUACUUUAAUAUUAAAAAAACCACUAAAUGCAGUCCACUCCUGACUCCUCUGAUAAUGCAAUAUUAAUAUAAUCCAACUGAAGCUGCCAACUAAUUGAAACCGAUAUUAUUCUCCAGACCAAGCAUGCAUUUCAUGUAUAAGAUUUACUAUGCUCUCUGUCAGAUGCCUAAAUAACAUACAGGAUUAUAUCAUAACACUGAAAAGGUCAUGUAAGUUACCUGAAUCAUUGUUUUAAUUGAAAAUAUCGAUCAGAUUUUCCAGAAUUAACAUUCGAUGAAACAAAGGGGAAGAUAAACAGAAAAAAAAAAAAUAAGGCACUAAAAACUAGCCAGCUAAAGUACUCAAUGCAAGCCCAAGGGUUAGCUCAGUUGGCAUGUGAGUUUGCUCCCUGCCUUGUUGAUCAUGGUUCAACUCCUGGGGCCAACACCCAGGAGGUGAUUCCUAAAUGCUCAUCAAGGCCAACUAAUUAAUGGGCCGCAUAACAAACUCAACUCAACUCAACUCA
rnacentral:misc_RNA from 1 species